ACAACAGCCACCUGUGCACCUGCAACUCCCAGGCUGAGGAUCUGUGUUUUCUUUGUCUGUGUUAUUGGAUCUAAAAAGAUUCAGCUGAAGGAUGUUGUUGCAGUCAUGCAAGAGAGAGGUAGAUGAUUACUAGACUUAACAUAGUUGCUGUUUGAACUAGGAGAGAUGAAGACGCAUUUAACACUUUUGAACUGGGCUUGUCUACAGUUUAAAUUUAUUCUCCUUCUCUAGGGCCUUUGAGCUUUCAGAAGGUUAAAGUCUCCAGAACCUCUAAAGCUCAAACAUAUAGAAGAAUUUUAUUGAGAUGGGGGCUCUCAAGACUGAAACUAGAGCAGAGCCUGGAUGAAUCCUGCAUUUGCUUUUUUGUCUUUCUCUCAGGUUUUCCUCUGAAAUGCAGAAUUGUCAAGUUUCAAUGGCUGCUUUUCAAGGCAUUAAGAACAUAUCAGAUGUCAGUUAAUGAAGCUGGAAGAAAUUAAAACAUCUGGAAAAGACUAAAUACUACCUAUCUGGCCUGCCUACUGCUGCCAUGGAAGAUCUGCUCUUGCUUCAGUGACCUCCACUUGCAUGGCUGUGCGUGCUCGUGUUGAAAUACCCACUAAAAUCAAGGGAGAGUCUGCAGAGGCCCGGUGCACAUGUUGCUAGGCAGCUGUAUAGUCCAUCCCUGAUAGUGGAUUUUUGAAGCUGUUUGCUUGCCAGCAGAAGCAGGAUAUGGAAGUGUAUGCAGAGCCACUGUUUGAGGAAAUGGCAUUUCCUGUUCUCCAUUGUUCCUGUGGAAGCAAAGGAGAAUAUAUGUCAGCAUGCAGGCAUCCUCAGCAGCAAAUAUUCUUAGGAUCAGUGUACCAUUGAAGUUGGAGUCUAGUCGGAUUCAACAUUGGGUUUUGAAUUAUCACACGAUAUGCAGAGGAAUGAAGGAAUAUUUGCAAAAGUGGAAGUGAAAAUUAUCAUCUGUGUAAGAGUUCUGUGGUCAAGGAUCAGUGAAGAGUUACAGAAAAUGAAGUGUUGAAAUAAUACUGUAAUACAAGUGGAAUAUCCAGAAAAAAUUUCUCUCUGAAUGUGAAUGAGGUAUGUUUUAAUUUAAAUUUUACUUCAGCCAACUAUCAAUUUUGUAUCAAGUUUGGCAUUAUAAAGAGUACAAAACCAGGGGCAUCACAGCUGG